rfam:Mycobacterium malmoense strain E3012 contig_105, whole genome shotgun sequence.
CUUGAUCGAUCCGAGCAACAGCGGCUCGGCGCGGUCCUGCCCGUAGGUGGCCAACAACGCCUGGGCCUC